rnacentral:rRNA from 1 species
CCCGCCUAUAUACCACCGUCGUCAGCUUACCCUGUGAAGGCCCAAUAGUAAGCAAGAUUGGCACUGCCCAAAACGCCAGGUCGAGGUGUAGCGUAUGGAAGGGGAAGCAAUGGGCUACAUUCACUACAAUAGUGAACACGAACAGUGCACUGAAACGUGCUCAUUGAAGGAGGAUUUAGCAGUAAGCAGAAAAUAGAGUGUUCCGCUGAAACCGGCCCUGAAGCGCGCACAUACCGCCCGUCACUCUCCCCAAAUUCCACUAAUUCAAAUGCUUAAGCCCUGAGAACAAAGAAGGGGAGGCAAGUCGUAACAUGGUAAGCGUACCGGAAGGUGCGCUUGGAAAAG